rnacentral:tRNA from 1 species
GUUUGAAUAGCUUAUAAGAGCAUUACGUUGAAGUUGUAAAGGUGAGUUGUUCUUCAAAUAA